rnacentral:rRNA from 1 species
AUAGGAACAGUCCUUCCGCUGGUAACACUUGCCGAAGCCUUAGCAGCCUGAAAGGGGCCCCUCGACGACUUGAAAUAAAAUUAGAGGGUCUCAAAUGCUAGUCCACUGUAUAUAGGGUGGGCAACACUGUCAAAUUGCGGGGAACCCCUAAAGACCUUGACACCAAGCGUCUGCUGGAAACAGCGGCGUGGCCGAGCUAAUAGCCCUGGGUAUGGUAAUAGUUCAAGGUAUGAGCCCGAGUGAUCGGGUGAAAUGGGCGAUCUGCAGCCAAGUCCUAAGGUCUUUGUAGGCUACGGAUGCUGUUCACAGGCCAAAUGGCAGUGGGUGGGAGUUAUCAUCUCCUGCUUAAGAUAUGGUCGGUCCCCUCGUGAAAGCUUGGGGGUAAGUUUACCGGAGUGAGAAAUAAUGAGCAAUUUUACCAGGUGUUCUAUAACUGUAAGAAUAUCUGCGCUUGUUUGUUUGCGGUUCUCAGAAAUUCUGAGUACUUUUACGUUCCGUAGGUGAACCUGCGGAAGGAU